rnacentral:lncRNA from 1 species
AGGGCUAAGAAUGCAGAGAGGAUCAAGAGCACGGGCGGCCAGGUGGGCCUGGGUCCUUGAGUGUAACUCGCUUCAGACACUGCAAUGACCUGGCUGUGCUCCCGGUCAGGUGUCAGGAGGGAGGCUUUCCCCACGAGGCCUGCCAGCAGACGGAAGUGGACAACUCCAGGUGAUUAGACUGGAAGAAUCCUUAAGGAUUCCUUGAGGCACAACUUCACACCGUGCUGCAUAGCCAGUGAUUACUGGGAAGCCAUAAGAAGAGAAAACCAGACGAGGAGCAAACACACGGUUUUUUGAAGAUGAAGACCAUCAUUCAUUUUGUUUUUCCUGGCCCUGGCACUGUGUUUGGCGUAUGGGAAGGACUGAAUAAAUUUUCCCAAUUAACGUAUGGAGAGAGAAAUAAAAUUUGACAAAGUGUAUGCCUGCAUUUUCAAGGAAGAUCAGCCCUGAGCUAACCACCGCCAAUCCUCCUCUUUUUGCUGUGGAAGAGUGGCCCUGAGCUAACAUCCACGCCCAUCUUCCUCUACUUUAUGCGUGGGACACACAGCAUGGCUUUUUGCCAAGUGGUGCCAUGUCUGCACCCGGGAUCCAAACCGGCAAACCCCGGGCCGCCAAGAAGUGAAACAUGUGAACACAACCGCUGUGCCACCAGUCCGGCCCCACUCGCACUUUUUGUCUGCUCUCAGAAAUUAAUGUGUCUUGCAGCUCACCAUAAAGAGUUCCACUUUGAGGAAAUUGAGGGAUUUUUGUCUCUACCACUCUUUGGUACUUCUAUAGAUAAUCAUGAUUUUUAUAUUAUAAUGACUUUUUUUCCAGUGUUCCGUGGAAGUAA